rnacentral:lncRNA from 1 species
GUUUGUGCAUGUUUGUAAGGUUUGGGAGGCAUUGGAGGCAAGAGGAGCCAAGUUUCUGCCCUCUGGCAGAAACCAGGUUCGGCAGCCGAAGGACUUUCGGCCGCCGAACAUGGCUGGGGAGGCAAGCCUUUCGGCUGCCGAAGCCUGCCCCCGAAAGGAGACUGUCGCCUCUAUCUGGGAGUUUCGGCCGCCGAACCUGCCGCCGAAAGUGCCCUGUUCAGCCUUCCUUUGCAUGUUUUUGCAUGAUUGUUUUGAGGUGUUUUAGGG